UUGACUUAGAACAGUUUCUUUGCUUUAUUUAGAAGUUCAAAGGGAAUGACAAGCCAACAUCUAUGCAAACACAACUACUUGAAUUAGAACUAAAAAGGAACUAAAAACCACUGAAACUUACCACUGAGAUCACGGUGGACGACUCUAUGUGAAUGCAGAAAAUCAAGCCCUCGCAGCAGCUGAAACAUCAUGUCCUAGAGGUAAAUAAUCAAGAACCUUAAUGAGAAGAAUGCUGCCGCUCCCAAGAAGUCUGUGAAUAAAUAUCAUGGCAUCUUAAGACUCUUUAACCAAGUCUUUGCUUGGUUCUGCAAUCAAAUUUCAGUCAAAGCUAAAGAAUAGAGAUGAUGGAAUUGUUUCUUCACAAACAACAGGAAGCUCUAGUCCAAGUGUUUCUGCCUUUGGAGAUCAGCCCUGGUUCCUGCAAGAGAGCCUUUUUAAAGAGGUGCCCAUUCUGUUGAGUGACCAUCAUAGGAAUAUUUCCAUGGUGUCUGCUUUUCAUCAUUUCAACAUGAUAUGAAGAUUGUUUUGUUCUUCUGAGAUUUUGCUCAAUCAUACACACACGUACAAAGCGCUUGUGGUGGUUCCACCUUACUCACUGUUAUGUAUUUAAUGGAUACUUCAUUGCUUUUUAUACCAAGCCAUCUUGAGUGUAUUAUAUGGAAAGUCAAGAUCAAAUUAUUUUAAAUACAUCCAUCAAUAAACCAGGAAAAGCUGUCCUUGCCUAAAUUGCAGCAUUAAGAUGAACGUCUACUCCUCAAAUGACAUCUGCCUCUUAUAUUGGACAAGACUGUAACAAAUUGCUCAAUUUCACUAUGAGACAGUAUUUAUUUAGUGAAAUAUUCAAUACAGUAGUCUGGUCUGUGUUUGUGCUCCAUUAAUCUCUCCCAUGCUUUAUCAAUUUCAGCUCUUAUUGUCCUUCAGCUAUUUGUCACUUGCACUACAGAGCCAUCUAAAAAUAUGAACACAGAAGCUACAGGAAAGCCUAAUAGUUUACACCACCAUGUAGCAGAAUAUUCCUAAUACACAAACGUUCUGGAAGAACAUUAAAAACCACAAUUAAUUAAUUAUAGCAUAGCUCAGUGUUCUGCAUUGUAUGGCCCUGAGUGCCAGUAUUUCAGGCAGGGGUCUUAAGCAGACCCUUCUUAGAGAUGUCCUUGAACCUAGGACAUUUUGCAUGCAAAACAUGUGCUCCAUCACUAGGUUACAGUUCCUUCUAUUUUAGAAGCUAACAAUAAAGAAUAUGAUCUGAUUCAGAAUUAAGAACAAGCUACAAACCAUGCCAAGACUCAGGCUGACAAACUCCCUCCUCCUGUCCUUUGCAUGUGAGCACUGGAGACUAGACCCUUCUGAUUGCAGCUUGCAACCAACAACGAUCUUUCA